UACAGAGGGUGCAAGCGUUAAUCGGAAUUACUGGGCGUAAAGCGUGCGUAGGCGGGAUGGCAAGUCGGUCGUGAAAUCCUUCGGCUCAACCGAAGAACGUCGGCCGAUACUGCCGUUCUUGAGGGAUGCAGAGGAGAUUGGAAUUCCCGGUGUAGCGGUGAAAUGUGUAGAGAUCGGGAGGAACACCGGUGGCGAAGGCGGGUCUCUGGGCAUCUCCUGACGCUGAGGUGCGAAAGCGUGGGGAGCAAACAGG
rnacentral:rRNA from 1 species